rnacentral:rRNA from 1 species
UGGGGAAUCUUGCGCAAUGGGGGGAACCCUGACGCAGCGACGCCGCGUGCGGGACGGAGGCCUUCGGGUCGUAAACCGCUUUCAGCAGGGAAGAGUCAAGACUGUACCUGCAGAAGAAGCCCCGGCUAACUACGUGCCAGCAGCCGCGGUAAUACGUAGGGGGCGAGCGUUAUCCGGAUUCAUUGGGCGUAAAGCGCGCGUAGGCGGCCCGGCAGGCCGGGGGUCGAAGCGGGGGGCUCAACCCCCCGAAGCCCCCGGAACCUCCGCGGCUUGGGUCCGGUAGGGGAGGGUGGAACGCCCGGUGUAGCGGUGGAAUGCGCAGAUAUCGGGUGGAGCACCGGUGGCGAAGGCGGCCCUCUGGGCCGAGACCGACGCUGAGGCGCGAAAGCUGGGGGAGCGAACAGG